rnacentral:sRNA from 1 species
CCUCCUCGAUCUGCUGCGGGCAGAUGAAGUGGAUGUGGCUGUCGAUGCCGCCGGCGGUGACGAUGUUGCCCUCGGCCGCGAUGAUCUCGGUGCCAGGGCCGAUGACGAUGUCCACGCCGCCCUGCACAUCGGGGUUGCCGGCCUUGCCAAUGGCCACGAUGCGCCCGCCCUUCAGGCCGAUGUCGGCCUUCACGAUGCCCCAGUGGUCCAGGAUCAGCGCGUUGGUGAGCACGCAGUCGACGGCGCCUUCGGCGCGUGUGCGCUGGCCCUGGGCCAUGCCGUCGCGGAUG